UUUUUUGUAGUAAAGAAAUUACGCUAGUUUUUCGAAUUAGAGUUAGCGAAGGCU
rnacentral:tRNA from 1 species